rnacentral:rRNA from 1 species
GACGAACGCUGGCGGCGUGCUUAACACAUGCAAGUCGAACGGAAAGACCCUGCUUUUGUGGGGUGCUCGAGUGGCGAACGGGUGAGUAACACGUGAGUAACCUGCCCUUGACUUUGGGAUAACUUCAGGAAACUGGGGCUAAUACCGGAUAGGAGCUCCUGCUGCAUGGUGGGGGUUGGAAAGUUUCGGCGGUUGGGGAUGGACUCGCGGCUUAUCAGCUUGUUGGUGGGGUAGUGGCUUACCAAGGCUUUGACGGGUAGCCGGCCUGAGAGGGUGACCGGCCACAUUGGGACUGAGAUACAGCCCAGACUCCUACGGGAGGCAGCAGUGGGGAAUAUUGCACAAUGGGCGGAAGCCUGAUGCAGCAACGCCGCGUGCGGGAUGACGGCCUUCGGGUUGUAAACCGCUUUCGCCUGUGACGAAGCGUGAGUGACGGUAAUGGGUAAAGAAGCACCGGCUAACUACGUG